rnacentral:rRNA from 1 species
GGAAUUUUCCGCAAUGGGCGAAAGCCUGACGGAGCAAUACCGCGUGAGGGAAGACGGCCUAUGGGUUGUAAACCUCUUUUUUCAGGGAGGAAUUUUGACGUGUACCUGAAGAAUAAGCAUCGGCUAACUCCGUGCCAGCAGCCGCGGUAAGACGGAGGAUGCAAGUGUUAUCCGGAAUCACUGGGCGUAAAGCGUCUGUAGGUGGUUGAACAAGUCAACUGUUAAAUCUUGAGGCUCAACUUCAAAAUCGCAGUCGAAACUGUUUGACUAGAGUAUAGUAGGGGUAAAGGGAAUUUCCAGUGGAGCGGUGAAACGCGUAGAUAUUGGAAAGAACACCGAUGGUGAAGGCACUUUACUGGGCUAUUACUAACACUCAGAGACGAAAGCUAGGGUAGCAAAUGGGAUUAGAUACCCCAGUAGUC